rnacentral:rRNA from 1 species
UACGUAGGGUCCGAGCGUUGUCCGGAAUUACUGGGCGUAAAGAGCUCGUAGGUGGUUUGUCGCGUUGUUCGUGAAAACUCACAGCUUAACUGUGGGCGUGCGGGCGAUACGGGCAGACUUGAGUACUGCAGGGGAGACUGGAAUUCCUGGUGUAGCGGUGGAAUGCGCAGAUAUCAGGAAGAACACCCGUGGCUAAGGCGGCUCUCUAGUACGGUACUGACGCUGAGACGCGAAAGCGUGGGGAGCAAACAGG